UACGGAGGGUGCAAGCAUUGAUCGGAAUUACUGGGCGUAAAGGGCGCGUAGGCGGCUCGAUAAGUCAGAUGUGAAAUUCCGGGGCUCAACCCCGGAGCUGCAUAUGAAACUGUCGAACUAGAGUACAGUUAGGGAAAACAGAAUUCCACGUGUAGCGGUGAAAUGCGUAGAUAUGUGGAAGAAUACCGGUGGUGAAGACGGUUUUCUGGGCUGAAACUGACGCUGAGGCGCGAAAGCAAGGGGAGCAAACAGG
rnacentral:rRNA from 1 species